GGAUGUGAGGGCGAUCUGGCUGCGACAUCUGUCACCCCAUUGAUCGCCAGGGUUGAUUCGGCUGAUCUGGCUGGCUAGGCGGGUGUCCCCCUUCCUCCCUCACCGCUCCAUGUGCGUCCCUCCCGAAGCUGCGCGCUGGGUCGAAGAGGACGACCACCCCGAUAGAGGAGGACCGUUCUUCGGUCAAGGGUAUACGAGUAGCUGCGCUCCCCUGCUAGAACCUCCAAACAAGCUCUCAAGGAUAGAGAAAGUUGAUGAAGGGUCAUUGGGUCACUUGUCCAAGGUCAGCAAGCUGGAAAGAGUGAAGCAGGCAUUCAAACCCAGACCACCUGAUUCU
rnacentral:snRNA from 1 species